UUGUUUUUUCGAGAAAAUAAUGGGUUGUCUUAACAGAAACUUCCAAAAGCCCAGGAGAAACCAAGGCAGAACACCGUAACACCAGUUACCGCUCUUUGACUUUGUUUUGGACCGCUCAAAUCGAGUUAGGGUACAGGAUAGCAAUAAGUAGAUGGCUAUAAUUAAGUGUUAUCAAGU